rnacentral:rRNA from 1 species
UGGGGAAUAUUGCACAAUGGGGGAAACCCUGAUGCAGCGACGCCGCGUGAGCGAAGAAGGUUUUCGAAUCGUAAAGCUCUGUCCUAUGGGAAGAUAAUGACGGUACCAUAGGAGGAAGCCCCGGCUAAAUACGUGCCAGCAGCCGCGGUAAUACGUAUGGGGCGAGCGUUGUCCGGAAUUAUUGGGCGUAAAGGGUACGUAGGCGGUCUAUUAAGUCAGGUGUGAAAGCGUGAGGCUUAACCUCAUUAAGCACUUGAAACUGAUAGACUUGAGUGAAGGAGAGGAAAGUGGAAUUCCUAGUGUAGCGGUGAAAUGCGUAGAUAUUAGGAGGAAUACCGGUGGCGAAGGCGACUUUCUGGACUUUUACUGACGCUCAGGUACGAAAGCGUGGGGAGCAAACAGG